CCCCCUUCCUCCUUUUCCUCCUCCUCAUCUUCGUCCUCCAGCCCUGUCAGAUCUAUAAAACUAAGUCCAUUGGGAGUCUUCCCUACUGGUAAAGAAGAGAUACAUAACUACUCAGAAGUUUGACCUAAUAAACCAUACAAGAAAAACCAAGUGGAUGAAGAUUAUCAAUUGCCCAGAUUAAUUGAAAAGAAGAAAUGAAUAAUGAGUUGUGCCUUGAAUUAAAUAUAAUGAGACCAAAA